rnacentral:rRNA from 1 species
UACGAAGGGGGCUAGCGUUGCUCGGAAUCACUGGGCGUAAAGGGUGCGUAGGCGGGUUUUUAAGUCAGGGGUGAAAUCCUGGGGCUCAACUCCAGAACUGCCUUUGAUACUGAAGAUCUUGAGUCCGGGAGAGGUGAGUGGAACUGCGAGUGUAGAGGUGAAAUUCGUAGAUAUUCGCAAGAACACCAGUGGCGAAGGCGGCUCACUGGCCCGGUACUGACGCUGAGGCACGAAAGCGUGGGGAGCAAACAGG